AGUGAACGCUGGCGGUAGGCCUAACACAUGCAAGUCGAACGGCAGCACAGUAAGAGCUUGCUCUUACGGGUGGCGAGUGGCGGACGGGUGAGGAAUACAUCGGAAUCUACUUUUUCGUGGGGGAUAACGUAGGGAAACUUACGCUAAUACCGCAUACGACCUACGGGUGAAAGCAGGAGAUCUUCGGACCUUGCGCGAUUGAAUGAGCCGAUGUCGGAUUAGCUAGUUGGCGGGGUAAAGGCCCACCAAGGCGACGAUCCGUAGCUGGUCUGAGAGGAUGAUCAGCCACACUGGAACUGAGACACGGUCCAGACUCCUACGGGAGGCAGCAGUGGGGAAUAUUGGACAAUGGGCGCAAGCCUGAUCCAGCCAUACCGCGUGGGUGAAGAAGGCCUUCGGGUUGUAAAGCGCUUUUGUUGGGAAAGAAAAGCAGCAGGUUAAUACCCCGCUGUUCUGACGGUACCCAAAGAAUAAGCACCGGCUAACUUCGUG
rnacentral:rRNA from 1 species